rnacentral:snRNA from 1 species
UUCGAUCCACGCUCACCGCAC